UCAUAGCUCACUGUAGCCUCAAACUCCUGGACUGAAGUGAUCCUUUUGCCUCAGCUUCCGAAAGUGCUGGGAUUUCAGUGACUCCACACCCACGGAAGGAGAGGGGGAUGAAGAAACCUGCCAGGAAGGUGCCUCCCGCCAGUAUCUGAUGAAGGUAAGAGGAGGAAAUGGAUCCAGCCAGAAGGAUCAGAGAGUGUCAGAAGAUCCGGAAACUUCCUCUGUGUGGCCAAAGUCUCAAAAUAUGCCAUUCUAUUCUGGGGAAUGCCGUGUCUAUUCAGGGCUCCAUCCAUCAAAUAGAAAUGGGACUCUAGGCUACUUUCCCACCUCCCAGGAAUGUGGAUGCCUAGAACACAAUAAUUCUUUUAAUCUUCUAAGAUAUAUAUAUAUAUAUAUAUAUACCAGAUUCCAGGACAGGUACAGUGGUCUACAUCUGUAA
rnacentral:lncRNA from 1 species